CAAAAACAACAACUUGGCUGUAACACUUGAGAAGUUUAUUGAUAACACAGUCACUAAUGAACUAUGAGUGAAGACCUGUAUGAGUAUGAUUCUGAAGGAACUGAUGGCAGUGAUGCAGUUAUAGAGAUUUCAGAUUCGGACGAAACUUUGCCGCCAUCUGACAAAGAAACACAGUCAUCUCUGGAGGAAUGCCGUCAGGAAGUUGAAUGGUCCCAGUCAUCAUUAGGAUAUUUUGUUAGUCAUGGUGAAGGAUUAUUAUUUGUAUAUUCCAUCCCAUGGUGAUCGGAGACUAAGAAAACAGUGUAGACAAAUGAGCGUGCAAUCUAGGAGGGGGAAGUUCUAAAUAACUCGUAUGCAGCACUGUUGUAGCCAACCGGGUUUCCUUCUCUGUGUGAAAUGUUUAAUAUAUGUAAAAUAUGUUAAUGCAAUCUUUAAUUCUGUCAUAUAAAAAUAUAUAGUACUUUUUAAUGUGGGGUUAGAUUUUCUUUCAAAAAUGUAUAUCCAUUUAUUACCUCCCCUGAAUUUUGCAAUUUUUAUUCUAUAUUUAAACAUUUACUCUUUUACAUAUAGGGUUCAAGGUGUAUAUUUUCUGAUUUGUAUUCACUAAUUAUUUAAGAAAAUGUAUAAUUUGCCAUUGAUUAUGGUAACAUUAAAAAUAUGUGGUG